UACGUAGGGUGCAAGCGUUGUCCGGAAUUAUUGGGCGUAAAGAGCUCGUAGGCGGCCUGUCGCGUCGGCUGUGAAAACCCGAGGCUCAACCUCGGGCCUGCAGUCGAUACGGGCAGACUAGAGUGCUGUAGGGGAGACUGGAAUUCCUGGUGUAGCGGUGAAAUGCGCAGAUAUCAGGAGGAACACCGGUGGCGAAGGCGGAUCUCUGGGCCAUUACUGACGCUGAGGAGCGAAAGCGUGGGGAGCGAACAG
rnacentral:rRNA from 1 species